GGGCUCUUAGCUCAUUUGGUAGAGCACCUGCUUUGCACGCAGGGGGUGAGGGGUUCGAAUCCCCUAGAGUCCA
rnacentral:tRNA from 1 species